rnacentral:rRNA from 1 species
GCAAAACGCGAAGAACCUUACCUACUCUUGACAUCUACGGAAGACUGCAGAGAUGCGGUUGUGCCUUCGGGAACCGUAAGACAGGUGCUGCAUGGCUGUCGUCAGCUCGUGUUGUGAAAUGUUGGGUUAAGUCCCCGCAACGAGCGCAAACCCCUACUCUUACGUUGUCCACGCGAGUUAAGUUACGGGAACGUACUAGGAGGACUGCCGGUCGGAUAAACCGGAACGGAAGGUAGGGGACGGACGUCAAGUACAUCAUGGCCCGUUACCGUAGUAGGCGUACACACGUGCUACAAUAGGUACGGUACAGAGGGAGGCGAAGACGUGCGGACAGUGAGCGGAUCUCUUAAAGUACGUNUACGUAGUCCGGACUCGCAGUCUGCAACUACGACUGCGU